UGGGGAAUUUUGGACAAUGGGCGCAAGCCUGAUCCAGCAAUGCCGCGUGCAGGAAGAAGGCCUUCGGGUUGUAAACUGCUUUUGUCAGGGAAGAAAUCCUCUGGGUUAAUACCUCGGGGGAUGACGGUACCUGAAGAAUAAGCACCGGCUAACUACGUGCCAGCAGCCGCGGUAAUACGUAGGGUGCGAGCGUUAAUCGGAAUUACUGGGCGUAAAGCGUGCGCAGGCGGUUGUGCAAGACAGGUGUGAAAUCCCCCGGGGCUUAAACCUGGGAACUGCACUUGUGACUGCACGGCUAGAGUACGGUAGAGGGGGGAUGGAAUUCCGCGUGUAGCAGUGAAAUGCGUAGAUAUGCGGAGGAACACCGAUGGCGAAGGCAAUCCCCUGGACCUGUACUGACGCUCAUGCACGAAAGCGUGGGGAGCAAAACAGGAUUAGAUACCCUGGUAGUCCACGCCCUAAAACGAUGUCAACUGGUUGUUGGACGGCUUGCUGUUCAGUAACGAAGCUAACGCGUGAAGUUGACCGCCUGGGGAGUACGGCCGCAAGGUUG
rnacentral:rRNA from 1 species